rnacentral:rRNA from 1 species
GAGUUUGAUCAUGGCUCAGAACGAACGCUGGCGGCAUGCCUAACACAUGCAAGUCGAACGAAGGCUUCGGCCUUAGUGGCGCACGGGUGAGUAGCGCGUGGGAACCUGCCCUUCAGUGGGGGAUAACCGAGGGAAACUUCGGCUAAUACCGCAUGCGCCCCGGGGCAACUCGGGGGAAAGAUUUAUCGCUGAAGGAGGGGCCCGCGUCGGAUUAGGUAGUUGGUGGGGUAAUGGCCUACCAAGCCUGUGAUCCGUAGCUGGUCUGAGAGGAUGAUCAGCCACACUGGGACUGAGACACGGCCCAGACUCCUACGGGAGGCAGCAGUGGGGAAUAUUGGACAAUGGGGGCAACCCUGAUCCAGCAAUGCCGCGUGAGUGAGGAAGGCCUUAGGGUUGUAAAGCUCUUUCGCACGCGACGAUGAUGACGGUAGCGUGAGAAGAAGCCCCGGCUAACUUCGUGCCAGCCGCCGCCGUAAG